AAGUCUCAACAAUAUAGUAUGUAUCUUAAAGUUUGCAACUUCACAUUUUUAAUAAACUAUAAGACC
rnacentral:tRNA from 1 species